CAGGGGUUAAGCACAUGACUUGCAAUCUGCGGAUCCUGAGUUCAAUUCCCAGUCCAUAAAUAUGAUGAAUACGUAGAAAUUUUAAUUAAUUUGAAGCAGACUCAACUUCGUUUUGAACGUCAAAAACACAAUUAAAUAGUCCCAUUUCAAUUCAAACUUUUAUAAUAAGUUCGAGCGCAAAGUGUUGACACGACCUAAUUUUACACUUCUUUAACAUUUUGUGUGAAAAUAAACAGCCUUGACCUACCUGUUGCUAUGCCCGGGGCAAACCGCAAACCCUUGCUCGUCGGUCUCAUAACAAAUUGUUUUAAAUGAUAACAUUUUAAUUCAGUUUAUUUAAUUAAAUGUAA